GACGAACGCUGGCGGCGUGCUUAACACAUGCAAGUCGAACGGAAAGGUCCUGCUUUUGUGGGGUGCACGAUUGGCGAAAGGGUGAGUAACACGUGAGUAACCUGCCCUUGUCAUUCGGAUAUCUUCAGGAAACUGGGGCUAAUACCGGAUAGGAUCUCCUGCUGCAUGGUGGUGGUUGGUAAGUUUCGGCGGUGGGGGAUAGACUCGCGGCAUAUCAGCCUGUUGGGGGAGUAGUGGCUGACCAAGGCUUCGACGGAUAGCCGGCCUGAGAGGGUGACCGGCCACAUUACGACUGCGGUACGGCCCAGACUCCUACCGGCGGCAACAGUGGGGAAUAUUGCACAAUGAACGGAAGCCUGAUGCGAAAACGCCGCGUUCGGGAUGACGGCCUACGGGUUGAAAACCACUUUCGCAUGUAACGAAGCGUGAGUGACGGUAAUGGGUAAAGAAGCACCGGCUAACUACGUG
rnacentral:rRNA from 1 species